rnacentral:rRNA from 1 species
CCUACGGGUGGCAGCAGUGGGGAAUAUUGCACAAUGGGGGAAACCCUGAUGCAGCGACGCCGCGUGAGUGAAGAAGUAUUUCGGUAUGUAAAGCUCUAUCAGCAGGGAAGAAAAUGACGGUACCUGACUAAGAAGCCCCGGCUAACUACGUACCAGCAGCCGCGGUAAUACGGAGGGGGCAAGCGUUAUCCGGAAUUACUGGGAGUAAAGGGAGCGUAGACGGCAGCGCAAGUCUGAAGUGAAAUGCCGGGGCUUAACCCCGGAACGGCAUUGGAAACUGGGCAGCUAGAGUGCAGGAGAGGUAAAGGGAAUUCCUAGUGUAGCGGUGAAAUGCGUAGAUAUUAGGAGGAACACCAGUGGCGAAAGCGGCUUACUGGGCUGUAACUGACGUUGAGGCUCGAAAGCGUGGGGAGCAAACGGGAUUAGAUACCCCAGUAGUC